UACGUAGGAGGCAAGCGUUGUCCGGAAUUACUGGGCGUAAAGCGUGCGCAGGCGGUUGUGCAAGACAGAGGGGAAAUCCCCGGGCUUAACCUGGGAAUGGCCUUUGUGACUGCACGGCUAGAGUGUGUCAGAGGGGGGUAGAAUUCCACGUGUAGCAGUGAAAUGCGUAGAGAUGUGGAGGAAUACCGAUGGCGAAGGCAGCCCCCUGGGAUAACACUGACGCUCAUGCACGAAAGCGUGGGGAGCAAACAGG
rnacentral:rRNA from 1 species